AUGCAACUUGUAUCACUGGCAAGGGUUGGUGUCGAGGUUCUUGCCAGUCUGACCUCGCUGGUGCACCUUAUACUGCGUGUCAAGGGCAGUGUAAGGGAUCAUGCUCCCGAAGAAGACGUCGUUGUUGUCCGUGGUGCGACGUUCCCAAACCUCAAGUAUCUUGUCUUUGCGCAUGAAGUGCCCUACCUUACAUUCGAGGCAGGCGCUACGCCAAGGCUUCAGAACCUGACUAUAGAGUGUUGUGCGCAAGCAGUGCGUCAAGCCGAUGGUGUACUCAAUGGCAUCGAGCGCCUAGGGAGCCUCAGGGCGUGCAAGGUGCAUAUUUACAAGUGGGCCAAUCUCUUCAGGGAGAGUUUUGAUAGGUUUGCUGCUGUGGCACAAGGAGGGGAACACGUAUUUCAGGAGGAGGCUCCAUACAUGCAGGUGCAGAGUCUUCGGGCCGCGAUCAGCAAGGCGAUCAACAAGCACCCGGGGAAUCCCAGUGUCACCAUUGUGUUGUUCUUGUGUAUCAACCGGUUGCAAUGUGAGCAGAUGGAAGCUGGGUCCAAGUGUUUGGAGUGUUGGGCUGCAGUACAAGGAGCAAAAGGAAGCUGA
rnacentral:rRNA from 1 species